GUUUAGGGUCAUGGGUCUUGCCCCAGAUCACAAAAUAACUGUCUUUACUUCACUAUACAACGGGUUGAUCAAGGCACACUUCAUGUUUCCCCAGAAGCCUGACUGUGUGACAAUUGCACAGAAAAAUUAGGAGAAUAACGUUCGGGCAGAUGAGCGCUAUCGAGACGCCAUCAAAGCCCUCAAAUCACAGAGACAGAAAGAGGAGGAACAAAAUCGUCUUAUUGAGGCUAGGAAGAAGGCCACCUCCCACCCCUUCCGCCCAACCCAAUUGAGAAUAUUGAGUCAAGGAAGAUACCUGGAGUGAAGAAAUUGGACGUGGAUGCCUUCUCUGUGACCCACUAUCACAUGCCAGAGACUACAGUGGACAGGGAAGUUGACACAGCACAGGCAUGGGAGGUGGCAAAGGAGGAGGUGUGGUGCCUGCAGGAGCUAGGACAGGAGGAGCUUAGGGGCAACCACGUGCUGAGGAGGGAACGGCUCACACAGGACCGAGAGCGCCUCCUGGUGGAGCUGGAGCACAUGCAUCAGACAGACCUGUUGAGGCGAAGGCAUUUGAUGACUCAGAUGCCUGCCCAGAUCUUCCAGCUUCUCUCCAAGAGACAGGAGAUGAGGGAGGACUGGCAGAGGGACAUGGAGUUCACCUUUGAGGACAUGUACACUGGAGAGAGGAGCAAAUCGGGAUGAAUUUUUCAGUGCUCUACUCUGGCCAUGAGUACACAAUUUGUUGGUCUUGCCUUGGUGCAUAGAUAAGUUGUUUUACUUGAUUGAAAUGGAGAGAUUUACCUUGAUUGAAAUGGAGAGAUUUACCCUAUCCUAGACAGUAGUGUGGACACAUCGUUAUGACACCUAAUUACCAUUAUUACGUUGGCAUGGAGUUUGUCUAUUUGUCUAAUUAAACCUGUACUGCUCUCUUGCCUGCAGGAGUGAAAUGUGACCUGGUACUGCAGCUGGUCCCAGAGCCUCUCCCAGCUGUGUCCACUGGCAGCCAGGAUGUAGACCUAGACCUGGAGGAGGCCACUCCUGACCUUACACCAUCGGCUGGGGCAGAGGAACAACUGGCUGAAGAACCAUCCAGGCCUCUAGGUGGUGCUCCCAGAAAGGCCUUGAAGAAACUACUGAGCCGCGUCAGGUCACAGAGAGACCAGUGGGGCUACUGGAGGCUGGUUGACCCCACGUCUGACUGCCAAACUAUUCAGACAGCAGAGUUCUACACGACUUCAGAUGGUACGACUAGUCAGGUUUUCUGGCCAGCGAAAAGCGGGGCCGACCGUUAACCACUAGUCCCAGACUCUCUGACCCCUCUCAGCCAGCCCAAGAGGAGUACAACAGAGGAGUACAUAGUAGCUGGUACCCUGCUCCAUCCUGAUAAACAAGCCAUCAAGAUCCACACAUUUGAAACCGAGAGGAAGUGAAGGGAGGAGGAGCCGGAGAGGCAGAAGCAGGAGCAGAUAGCCCUGCUACAGGAUUUAGGGGAGAAGAAGAUCAGGCUGGAGCUGCUGCUACUACUGCAGGAGGCCCGGGAAGAGAGAGCGCAGCUGCAGACGGCCAUGGCCCAAGACACUGCUGCUGCAUCUGGACCACCGAAAACACCAGCCCAGGACGUCAGCCCUGCUGCACCAUCUCCUGAGGUAGGUGGAUGUGGGUGGGAUUGUGUGGAUGUAUCUGGGUCAUGAUGUAAAUCAAUAAUAGCCUGAAUUGAAGUUUUUAAUAUAUUUCAUGAUGGUUUCUACACUUGAACUCUGUGUGUGACUGUUUCCACAUGUAAUAGCGACACUGACUUGUUCUGUGGUUGUCCCUGUGCAGUCUACUAUACACUCAGCUGCUGAGGAUGACCACACCAGGAGAAUCAGAGUAUCAGCAGCAUCUCGUAGGGUGGCAGGUAGCCUUGCGGUUAGUGUUGGGCCAGUAACCAAAGGGUCGCUGGUUAGAAUACCCGAGCCGACAAGGUGAAAAAUCUGUCUAUGCCCUUGAACAAGGCACUGAACGCUAAUUUGCUGUGGCUGACCUUGUAAAACCACACAUCUCACUGUACCUAUCUAUUGUAUGUAACAAUGAAAUUAACAUAUUCUGUUAUGGUUGUUUUUGGGAAUAACCCUCCCCACCCCCCAUAUUUUUCAAUGUUUCCAUUUCUUAUGCUUCAUAAGCAGUCAGUGGAAGAGACUCGCCGGCGUCUGGAAGAGUACCAACACACGCUAAGAAACCGCUAUUCUGGUAAAACUACGGCAAAAUGUCUACCUCCUGGUACCAAAGCCCGUCCUCUACCACACUUUAAAGGAGGAAUCAUUCCACCAGUAGUGCCACUAGAACUCCCCUCUGUCUCUGCCCUUCUCCCCUGUCUCCCUGUAGCACUUAGUACCCACUCUAGAGCUUACACUCCUCUGGACCUCCCCACACCCUCCAUCUUGGCUCAAACUCUCUUCCUUCCUGGCACAACAGUCUGCUCGCAUAUCAACUCCAGGGCCUCUCCAGUGCAGCUAGAACACACCGCUAAGAGACCAAAGAGCUGGUUUUUCUGCUUGGCUUCCGGACAAUGUGUUUAGUAGGGUCCCAGAGGACAUCCCUGAGAGGCUACUUUCCCCCUCUACCUCGUUGGAUCUGCAGACCACAUCCUGUUUCCCUCCACUCUACGCCACACAUCCCACUCCCAUCAAAAACUGACUCCAUCCCAGCCAUCAGCCCAACCCUUUCAGAAGAGUCAGCUACUCUCCCUGGGGUGGCCCCGGUGAAGCCUGGGCCUAUCCUGCGGGCCUCAGCCAGGUCUGUGGAAGAGGUGGAGAGGCAGAGGCAGGAGAUACGCGAGGCCCAGUGUUGGGUGGAGGCCCAGAGGGAGCAGGAGGAAAAACGGAGAUGGCUGGAGGAAGAGCAGAGGAGGAGACAGAGGGAGGUGUUACAGGCACUGCUCACUGCUGACGACUCCCCCAGCCUGGUCCAGAGAUCGCGGAUGGUUUUGGGUCAGAGCGUGUCCAUCGGAUGGCAGCUCUCCUGAGGGCCAUCGAGGAGUCCAAUGGGCAAACAUCAUCUGUAGAAGCUAAUCCGAGCCAAGACAACACACUCAAUGUCCAGAGUUCACACCCAGACAGACCCGCCCCUCACCAACUUUCCCCACCACCACCCCCGAGCAGCCAAACCCCCGGUGGCCCGCGCCAGGCUGGCCGUCAUGGAGAUGACAGAGCAGCAUGAGCUCAGUGCCAUCCAGGAGGUGGAGACGCCAGCCAACACCAGCCUGAUCACAGGUCGGUCAGCCAGCCACACCCUCAGGGGGCACCAUACACUACACCAAACGUGGCGGUGGUCAGCUCUGGUAACCACUUGUAUACAUUCUUCAUAAACAAGCGUGUAUCUCUAACCAGCUACUAUGUGCUGUGUCCAGAAGGGAGUGUGAGGCUGUCUUGUAUUGAAAGGGCAUUCCCAGAAGAACAGGACCACUUGGCCCACUCUGAGAGAGGUCACUCCAGCACCUUUGUGUUCAGUGCAGGGGAACACACAGCUGGGAGUGAGACAUUAAACCUGGUCUGGUAGAUCCAGCAAGCUAUCCUGGAGAGAGAGAGAGAGAUUACAGCUGGAGGCUGGUGCCUCUCCUGAACCUGAUCCCACCCCGGUCUGCCCAGAACAGUCUCAACACUCCUCUGAGUUUGGGAGAGGUGUCCCUGGAAAAUCUCCUGAG